rnacentral:rRNA from 1 species
CCUACGGGAGGCUGCAGUGGGGAAUAUUGGGCAAUGGGCGCAAGCCUGACCCAGCAACGCCGCGUGAAGGAAGAAGGCUUUCGGGUUGUAAACUUCUUUUCUCAGGGACGAAGCAAGUGACGGUACCUGAGGAAUAAGCCACGGCUAACUACGUGCCAGCAGCCGCGGUAAUACGUAGGGGGCAAGCGUUAUCCGGAUUUACUGGGUGUAAGGGGCGUGUAGGCGGGAAAGCAAGUCAGAUGUGAAAACCAUGGGCUCAACCUGUGGCCUGCAUUUGAAACUGUUUUUCUUGAGUACUGGAGAGGCAGGCGGAAUUCCUAGUGUAGCGGUGAAAUGCGUAGAUAUUAGGAGGAACACCAGUGGCGAAGGCGGUCUGCUGGACAGCAACUGACGCUGAGGCGCGAAAGCGUGGGGAGCAAACAGGAUUAGAUACCCGGGUAGUC